AUUGUUGACAGUUUUAUUAGAAUAGUCUUGGAGCACAUCUCUUUAAGUUUAUUUUGUUGGUGACCUAUGAGCUUCAUGAACUUGGAUAUUCAAAUUGCUCCCCAGAUUUGCUACUGAAUUUCUUGAAAACAACUAUUUGAGUGCUUCAUCUGGUUUGUGUGGCUGUCUUCACAUCUGAAGUAGUCACGCCUCCAGUCUUUAUGAAUUGCCUUCUAGAGGGAAAUGCCUUCCAUCCACCCUGCUAGUUUCUGAGGCUCUCUCAGACCUGCUAAACCUGACCACCUUCCUGUAUUGGGGAAUUUCACAUCACAUAAUGUCUAGUGACACGGUGGAGCGGAGCAGCUAAAGAUAUGUGUUGUGUCUAUUGCAAGGGUAGAAUAAUCCACAGAUUCAAUUUUUCACCCAAAUGAGGACUGGAAGUUGCCAGCUUACUUGGACAUAGUGCCCUGAAGAUCCCACCGAUUUCUAGUCUGUGACCACUGUGAGGAAUGCUUCCUAGGGCCUCUUCCUCCCUGUGACACCCCAACCUAGAUACAGGUCAACCAUGCAGCCCAGCUGACAUAUCUUAUGUGUCUCUAAACCUGCACACCAUCAUCCUACUGUCCCUUGCUGCCCAUGACUUCCCUUCUAUAAAUAAAUAAGUUAAUUUUU